rnacentral:misc_RNA from 1 species
UUUCCGUAGGUGAACCUGCGGAAGGAUCAUUCAUAAUAAAGUGUUUUAUGGCACUUUUUAAAAAUCCAUAUCCACCUUGUGUGCAAUGUUAGAUCUCGUCAAUCUUGGCGAGAUUUUUAUACAUCAACUCAUUCUUUAACUAAUUUGUCUGAAAAAUAUUAUGAAUACUUAAUUCAAAGUACAACUUUCAACAACGGAUCUCUUGGCUCUC